rnacentral:lncRNA from 1 species
GUGUUUUAGCUAAGUUAAAACUUUUUCAAAGUUCUUAACUUAACUACGUUAGCAGCGGAUAAAUAACACAAAUAAUAACAAGAUAAAGAGAGAGAGAGAAAGCACACAAGCAAUUUAUACUAGUUCCUCUCACAAAACGAGAGUAGUCCAGUCCCCUUGCACUUCCAAGGGAGUUCACUAUAAUCACACAAGAUUACAAAUGCUCAAGCACACAAACAAGAGACUUCACCACAAUGCUCAAGCACACAAGCUUAAGACUUCUCACUUAAGCACACAAGCUUAAGUUUCCUCAAGUACAAGAGAUAGUAAAUAGUUGAAAGAAUACAACUGCUCUUAGAAGAACCUAACAGAGCAAAUACAAUGAAUACAAAGUAUUUGAACUACAAGUGCAAAAACACUAGAUCAGAGGUUCAAAGCUUGUAUACACAGAAUUCAGAGUUUGUUCAGCGCGUGUUAAAUCCUUGAUAAUCUUAAUUGU